rnacentral:rRNA from 1 species
UACGUAGGGGGCAAGCGUUGUCCGGAUUUAUUGGGCGUAAAGAGCGUGUAGGCGGCCAUGUAGGUCCGUUGUGAAAACUCGAGGCUCAACCUCGAGACGCCGAUGGAAACCAUGUGGCUAGAGUCCGGAAGAGGAGAGUGGAAUUCCUGGUGUAGCGGUGAAAUGCGCAGAUAUCAGGAGGAACACCAAUGGCGAAGGCAGCUCGCUGGGACGGUACUGACACUGAGACGCGAAAGCGUGGGGAGCAAACAGG